CGUACGAUGGUUCAUGGUGAUCGCUCCUUUGGCACAGGAGUGAACCAGCGGUCGCUCCGCUUCAUUCACCC
rnacentral:tRNA from 1 species